rnacentral:tRNA from 1 species
GGGCCGGUAGUUCAGUUGGUACGAACGCCCGCCUUGCACGCGGGAGAGAGCCAAAGCUCCCCAAAGUCGGGGGUUCAAGUCCCCCCCGGUCCA